GAUGAACGCUAGCGGCAGGCCUAAUACAUGCAAGUCGAACGGGUGGUCGCAAGACCACUAGUGGCGCACGGGUGCGUAACGCGUAACCAACCUGCCCCGAUCUGGGGGAUAGCCCGCCGAAAGGCGGAUUAAUACCGCAUAUACCCGCAGCCUGGCAUCAGGCAACGGGGAAAGAUUUACUGGAUCGGGAUGGGGUUGCGUGACAUUAGCUAGUUGGCGGGGUAAGGGCCCACCAAGGCGACGAUGUCUAGGGGACCUGAGAGGGUGAUCCCCCACACUGGCACUGAGAUACGGGCCAGACUCCUACGGGAGGCAGCAGUAGGGAAUAUUGGGCAAUGGGCGAGAGCCUGACCCAGCCAUGCCGCGUGCCGGAUGAAGGCCUUCUGGGUUGUAAACGGCUUUUCUCGGGGAAGAAAAAGACCUUGCGAGGUACACUGACGGUACCUGAGGAAUAAGCACCGGCUAACUCCGUG
rnacentral:rRNA from 1 species